UACAGAGGGUGCGAGCGUUAAUCGGAAUUACUGGGCGUAAAGCGUGCGUAGACGGUUAUUUAAGUCGGGUGUGAAAGCCCGGGCUCAACCUGGGAAUUGCAUUCGAGACUGAAUAGCUAGGGUACGGUAGAGGGAAGCGGAAUUUCCGGUGUAGGCGGUGAAAUGCGUAGAUAUCGGAAGGAACAUCAGUGGCGAAAGCGGACUUCCU
rnacentral:rRNA from 1 species